rnacentral:lncRNA from 1 species
CUAAGUUCUUAUUUCUUUGUGUGCUGAUUCGACAAGUACUAGUGAUCUGUGUUGAUCUUUUUCUUUACUGCUUUUCAGAAAAAGGAUAAUCCUGAACUAAUUUAUGCUCCUCAUUUGAAACAUUGAUGCCUGGUAUUGAGAGUAAAGCAAGGAAGCUGGUAAAAUUUGGGGACUACUGGUAUCUUUGAUAUAUUUCUAGCAACGCCUUUCAUGAGAAUUUUAGUUCUUUGUGAAUUUGAAAAUAGAGGUGAUAAACCAGGUGCAGUUUUUGUGAAGCAAAUGAGUCUUAUUGACAGAUCUGGUUCAGAUGAUCUGAUAGAUGAUUUAGAUUCACAAAGAAUUUGCAGAUGCCACUUGGAUUUUCCAUUGCAGUUACUGGUAACUGAUUUUUAAUUCUUUGUUGCUGUUUGAGAGUGAUAGUUUUAUUUGUUUCACUUUUUAAAUAAAACUGAGCUGUUUAUAUCUUUG